rnacentral:lncRNA from 1 species
GCGGAGCCGGGUCCGAGCUGUGGCAAAAAGAACCGAGGCAGCGCAGCCCGAGGUCGCUGUGCCAAGCAGAAGUGCUUUAAAAAGCGUUCUGUGACAUUAAUAGGGACACGUUUCAUCGCAGGUUUUAUUUCUGAUAAAUUCCUCGAAGCGAUCAAACCCCAAAAUAAAACAGCUGCACAGCGUGGUACAGCGCCAGCCCGGCACGUUCUUAAAAAUCAUUGUCGUGUUUGAAAAUAUACAGCUUGUUUGCUGAGCAGACACUGGUCUGGAGGUAGCCGAGCUGCCCGCCCAAGCACCACACACGGGUUAACUCCCCUGGAUCCCUGCCGUAGCACAAGAUGUACAACUUGGUACAUUCCUGAAUGGCAACACGGAGCGAGGGACAAAUACCUAACGCAAUAGUUCAGGUUAGGAAAGCUUUAGUUACCAGAACCUAUUUUUAGGGCAGAAGUCGAAUUUACGGUGCUCUAAUCUUUGUAUGGGGAAUUGGCACAAGGUUUCUGCUGUUGGGUCUUAUUUAUAGCUGUUUCUUCUUUCCAGGGAAAUAAGAUUAGCCUCAUUAUUUCCAUUGCUGUUACUCUGUCUAUCAUUAUUAUUAUUCAGUCCGUCCAUCCUUCCACCCAUUUAGGUCUUGUCUGGAAUUACCUAGGAUUAUCCCGCUAAUGCGCGUUGCCUUCACACCGAAUAUCAUUUUUGUUGCUAAGAAACUGCUUUUGCAUAACAGACAGCGCAGGGCCUAAUUUUCACUCCAGCAGCUGUUAAAGUCAACGGGAGCAGCAGGUGCUCGGCGCUCCUGAGCCGGAGCCAAAGUGUCCGUGGCAGAAUUCCCACACAAAGUCUGACUGUGCACGCGAGCGUGUCAUCCACGUGUGCAACAUGCCCGGGGACAGAGCAGCUUCACGGGGCACGAGGCCAUUGCUACCUGGAAGGAAGGAUUUUGAUCAGACUGCAGAAGAUGAACAGGCAGGAGAGGUAUGUUGAGUAACACUAAAUCAAUGGAGUUUCAUUUACAUUAGACACCAGCCUGGCAAUUUCAACAUUAAUGGUUGCACUGCUGCCCUCUGAAUUUUUGUAGCUUUAAUAUAUCAGUGGGGGAGUAAAAGAGAGGGAGAGCGUGUCGCUCAUGCUUAUGAUACGUGGGUCUUUUCUUUCAUGCAUCAUCAAUGGGUAGCAAUUUGUACAGCUGUUAAAUUCCUUUAGCAAUAAAUUUCCUGGGAUAAGUAUUGCACUGCUCCUACCUCACAGAUUAUCUAAGAUGAUAGUAACAAUAGUGUCUUUGGAUCUGGACCCUCUUUCUUUCAAGCUGAAAGAAUGAAAGGCUGAGGCAAAUGGCAAGGUAGCAAGAGCAUCACAUUUGGACCUCUGACUGC